GACGAACGCUGGCGGCGUGCUUAACACAUGCAAGUCGAACGGAAAGGCCCUGCUUUUGUGGGGUGCUCGAGUGGCGAACGGGUGAGUAACACGUGAGUAACCUGCCCUUGACUUUGGGAUAACUUCAGGAAACUGGGGCUAAUACCGGAUAGGAGCUCCUGCUGCAUGGUGGGGGUUGGAAAGUUUCGGCGGUUGGGGAUGGACUCGCGGCUUAUCAGCUUGUUGGUGGGGUAGUGGCUUACCAAGGCUUUGACGGGUAGCCGGCCUGAGAGGGUGAACGGCCACAUUGGGACUGAGAUACGGCACAGACUCCUACGGGAGGCAGCAGUGGGGAAUAUUGCACAAUGGGCGGAAGCCUGAUGCAGCAACGCCGCGUGCGGGAUGACGGCCUUCGGGUUGUAAACCGCUUUCGCCUGUGACGAAGCGUGAGUGACGGUAAUGGGUAAAGAAGCACCGGCUAACUACGU
rnacentral:rRNA from 1 species